AUUGUUCUAAAUUCAAUUGUCGAUAACAGAAAUAAUUCAUACACAUCUCUCUAUCUUUUCCAAUAUAAGGUCUUUGAGAAAAUAUUCUGUUUAAACUCAAUUGUCUCUUCAUCUCCAUCUCCAUGUGACUCACUUCCAAACUACAGAGUUUUAAGUUAUAAGAAUAGAAACUUCAAAAAAGAAAAGCUUAGAAAAAGAGAGAUGGAGAGAGGAAAGAAACCUCACGUAUUGGUAAUUCCAUAUCCAACUCAAGGCCAUUUAAACCCUUUAAUCCAAUUCUCCAAGUUCUUAUCUUACAAAGGACUUGACAUCACAGUAGCCGUCACCACCUUCAUCUUCAACACCUUCAAACCCUCCAAAAAUAUC
rnacentral:lncRNA from 1 species